UUUCUUCUUCCAUCUGAUGUUAUUGUUUUCUUUAUUUCAUUCUCAGAACUUCAUUGACCGAAAGUUAUUUUUUCACUUUCAAUUGUGAAUUUUAUGCAACUUGUGUUGCCAAAGUAAGCCACUUGGAUUCACAUUUUCAGCUUUGAUCUUUGUAGCUGGCUAUAUCAAAGGGCAUUGAAGAUGGAGAAGACCGUAAAUCUGCUCUCAUCAGGAAAUUGCGGCAGAAAACUAAAAUAACAUCAGUUGAAAUAAUUGCAAAGAUUCCACAAUGGUUGACUAUUACUUCCCACUAUCCGUAAAGGCCAAAGUAAACCGUCUUUGGGGGAGGAGAAUGGCAUGGACUAACACGGAAAUGAGGUUGCAGCAGAAAGCACAAGUCUAUAUGUAGCAAUUGCUGAUGGGAUUCUUGACUUAGUGGACAAGUUUUUACAUAUGCAAUGUCAUGAUGCAGUCAGAGCACUUGAAAUUUAUCAAAGGAGAGGAGAUCAGGCAUGUGCAUUUCCUUUGUAUACAUACCUAUUUUAAACUUGAUUCAUUGUGCAUAGCUUGUUCUGACACUUCAUGUGUGAUUCAGGCAGUCAAGCUAUCUAGCUAUCUGAAUUAUUUGAGAUAUGUAGGAAUCUUAACUUUGGACGAGGCCAAAACUACGUUAAAAUAGAAAAGGAUAUGAUGACAAAAAUACCAAGAUCAUUAUUGUUCCUGAGUCCAAAAUAGAGACUGUUCAAGAGCAAGAAAAUGAAGUACAAACGAAAGAAGAGUGUUACGCGGAGACUCCAGACCCACCUCUCAUUCCCGACCUUUUGAUAAGGACUUCUUUAUCUAAUUUGGUAGUAUAUAACUUCUAAAUGAAAAAAUGAGAUGUCCUAAUAGUUAAGCAUAGUUACUUAUGAAUAUUUGUAGUCUAUUGAUGAGCCAAGUAAAGAUCAUCGGUUGCACUGGAAGAUAACAAUGUCGUAGCAUUAGUUAUUAGUACACCAGGUAUAUUUUUCUUGCUUUUCGUCUUCUUUAUAUUAGUCUUAUUAUUUAUCAAAACAGAAGAAUUUAAGGUUUCUUCUCAAUAUAAUCAUUACAUUAUUUGUAGAUGAGUUUUCAAACUCUUUGAGCUGGGAAUGUCAAAUAACAUUUUGUCAUUGUUAAAAUGUGCUUCUAUAAAUGUGUCAAAGUUAAUUUACCGGGUACAAAAAUAAAAGAUUCCUUCCUUAACCAGUCAUCCAUAAUAUCAAAAAAAUUCUUAUAGUCUAUCUCUGAGCUUAUAGUGAUACACUUAUUCAAUUACUUUGACUAUUUUCGAGCACCUCAUGUCUUUUUCGGGCGACGAAUUGAUGUUUGUCUGUAUUUUAGAUAUUGACUAAUGAGAAGUUGGCACUUAGAAGCUAAGUUUCUUUCUACAGUGUAUUUUUCUUUGGACGGCACUUUUUAACUUUUUGGGGGUCAAAAUAUAAGAUUUUAAGGUACUGCCUACCGGGUAAUCAAUGUUAUCAAACUUUAUCCUAGUUUUCGUUUCUUUUAGUAUGAGCUUUUUCAAAGCCAAAAUAGCGUAAUGUUUUACUGUGAGUUUUGUACAUUGUACGGUGCACUGACAUUUUUUUUCUCAGGUUCCGCAUAUAAACAUGGUUUUGGCCAUUACUCAGCUAAGAACUAUGGACUUAGUUUAAUUGUAGCAUCCUUUUUGUAUUAGUGGAAAAUCAGAUGUUUGUUUCUUCCUCAUUCUCACGGAAUCAAGUUUAGGAAUAUAAUUGUACAACUUCCU